AUGUUCAGCUUCUAUAGCAUCUAUACUAAAAUUGCAACAGUACAGAAAUUAGCAUGGCUCUUGCACAAAGAUGACCCACAAAUACAGGAAGCAUUCCAUAUUUCU
ensembl:snRNA U6 U6 spliceosomal RNA